GGGUGCAAUCAUACCAACGUGAAUGCAUUGGAUCCCUUCAUAACUCUAUAGUUAAGUGUACUUGGGAUAAAAUAGUAUUGGGAUAGGUGACCUCUUGGGAAGUCCUAGUGUUGCACCCU
rnacentral:rRNA from 1 species